rnacentral:lncRNA from 1 species
UUCACAGUGUAACUGGAUACUACCGUUCAAGAACUGGUUAUUUCAUAAAUAUCUCCUAAUAUAUAAAUAAAGCAAAAGGACCCAGAAAUAUCUCCUAGUAUAUAAAUUAAAUAAAAGGACUCAGAAAGAAGAUUGACCUUGUACAUUUCCUCUCUCCAACACUUUCGUUUCAUAAUUUCAUUGCAAAAUUUGGCAGCCAUCUUUUCGUCGCACCUUCGUCGCCUACCACCACCAGGUAUCGUGUCUCUUAGCCCAUCUCAAAACUUUAGUCUCCUCCAAAUUUUUCCACUCUUGAAACUGAUUUUCGAUCAUCGAUUGAUUUGAAUGGUUUAUAUAUGAGCAUGAGUUCUCAUCAAUUUAAUUUUGUGGGUUUCUCCAUGUGUGACACUGACAAAUCAAGUGUUUGAUUUUAUUUGUUUUUUAAUUGAUUUGGGUUUUAAUAGAUUGGCACAAAUGGGGUGGGUCUGAAGUUGAUUUCAAUUUUUAUAGUUUGUUGAUAAAAGGAAUGCAAACGAAAUUAUUGGAUCGAGAUGGGUUAUGAUUUACAAGUGUUUUUCUUGAAUUAGGAAAGAUGGGUUUGAAGAAAAAGAGAAGUAAAUCCUCCUGAAGAUGAAAUGGAGAUAGUACUAAUGGAAGAUAUAAUUGAAGAGUAGAAGCGAUGAGAGAUAAGGAUGAUGGAGAAGAAUUUAAACAAAAGAAAAUUGUCUUCUUUGUAUUGGAUUCCACUUGCCAGCAGAAUUCCUCUACUUUCAAGGCAAUAAUGGAAGAAAAUUAUGUUGGUUUUCAUUUUAUGCCAUAUUUAUGUUAAAAAAAUAUAUCACUUUUUUUGAACUUUUUAAGUUUCUAAACGAGACGUUUAAUUGUUUAGACAUGUCCCUAUUUGACAUAAAUUAAAAUUUUGAUUUUAUUUACACAAAAUAGGGGCAAUAUUAGAGCAUACAAGUAUUUUAAGUUCAUGUCUUGUCUCUUUAUCAACUUUUGAAAAUCAUGUAUGUUUUAGGUUUUCAUAGAAAAAACUGAAUAUGGCCCGAACAGCGUCAAGGAUGUUUAAACAAUAUCAAACAAAGUUUAUCAAUAGAAUAGAAUAUGAUUAAAGAAAUAAAUAUGUAGCAUAGUUUAUGGAUUAUCGUCUUUUUAAUGAUGAAGCUUGAAGCAAGCUUUAUAAAUAUGAUAUAUGUUUUAGGGCUUUGACACGAAAAUUGAAUUCGGGCCUAGAUAGACGUCAAGGGGUGUUUAAGCACUAUGAAAUAUAAUUUAUUAAUAGAACAUAAUAUGAUUAAAGAAGAAAAACCUGUGAGUCAAUUUACCGAUUAUCCACAUCCACUCCAAAUUCCUAAACCCACUCAUAAUCUUGUUCACAAUUUUAAAACGCACCUCAAAAAUCAACCAUAAGUACUUAAUUUGGCAGCAAAUUAUUGCAGAAUAAUUUGUGGGCUUGACUUAUAUUCACAGUUAAGCAUACGAAGGUGAUGAAUGAAGAAUCAGGUCAACAGUUUGUAUAAGUGUAAUUGAAGCAAUUUUGGAAAAAUGACGCUGUGUAUUAGUAAAUUGUAUUGCAAAAUAGGAAGAAUAAAGUGGGAUUUGUAUUUGUUAGGGACAGGAAAAAUGAGAAAUGUAGUUGAAGUGGACCUACAUUUUUUAUGAUUAUAAGGACUCGUCAUUUUUCAGAUCGCUGGCUCAACCUUUCCAGGUGUUUUGAUUUGUAUUGAUGAGAUGGUGGUGGUUGAGUUUGAGUGGGUUGUUGGACUUUGGUAAGUGAAGAUCUUAUAGCUUCGUGAAUAAGAGCUUUUGGUUCAAGAAGUGUUGUAUGUUGGAUCAGAGAUGUAAUUUUCCUAAUUACACUAUGUUGAGUAAUAUCAGAAUACAUGAAAGUUGAAUUAACCAAAGGCUUUCUUAUAUGAUUAAGAAUAAUUUUUUAAAUGGUGUAUGGUUUAAAUAAAUUACUCACAAUAAAAGUUGAAUGAGCACUUGAAACAGUGUGAAAAACUUUAAGGUUGAUACAGUAUUGGUAUGGAGUUUGGUUUAAGGUUUCUCUGCAAAAGAGAUUUGGUGUGGCUAGGAAUUAUAAUGAUGAGAUUUGAAAACAUGGAUUUGCUUUUUGUCGAACAAUAAUGGCAUGUUGGGUGUUAUUUGGUAAUCUUGAGUAUGUUCCUUUGUAAUUUUUCUUAUGCAUUUUUUGUUCGAUUUUGUUAAUGUCUACUUUCAACUUUUAAUUUUUCCUACUGUCUUUGUUUGUAGCUUUGUGAAAGUUACAGAAUAUAGCAGAAGAUUAACAUUGAAAUUGAAGAAUAAUAUUUUUAGGUAGGUAGAUUCUAUAUUUGCUUUGGUUGAGGGUCAUUUAUGUUUUUAGAAUAAUUCGUUUUAGCUGUAGAUUAUUCUUAAUUUGAGCUUCUAAUCUUCUAUAUGUUUGAACUAAUCAUUGUACUUUGAGUAAUUAUGUGUAUGAUAUUUGAUUGUAUUUUUAGUUGGUGAAAUUUACAACUGCAGAAGUAUAGUCUUUGUCGUGUAACUUUUUAAAUUUUUUUCUUUCAAACAAUUGUAUUUUUUUUAAUCGUGGAAUUCGCGAUUGCAAUAGUACGGUCUUUGUUAGGUAACUUUUUUCUAAAUAAUUUUUUUCCUUAUAAUUGAUUCUUCAGAGGUUUGUAUAGUAGGUUUAUUUUGAUCACUUGUUAUAGUAAGUUGUAUUUUUAAAUUUCUAAUAAGGUUAUUAGUUGUUAUGCUUUGUUUGUGGACUGUAUGAAUCCUCCAUUUAGUUGGUUUCUUUGGACGAUGAAAAAUAGGCUUGCAGACUCUAAUAAAUUUUCCUAAGAUUCUGUGCAAUUUAUGAGAGCCUAAUAUAAGAGGUCCAUUGAAAAGUCAAUUAUGACAUUCUUAUUUUUCUUUGCAUUUUAUGAUUUAUUACGCCGUUGAAAAAUUUCAAUCUUAUUUCUUCAUAGAUUAUAAUGAUUAGAUUUUUUAUUUUUUUUAAUUUCAUCGAAGAUUUUAUUUCUAGUCAAUAAGAAUGGUCCUCCUCAUGUAAUGAGCGUAAUUGCUUAUCUUAUUCAUAGUAUUAUAAAGAUAGCCAAAAUUACAUUUCACAUUUAUAAUAAACGUUUAGAAGCCUUGUAAAGUAAAUUUUUAGUCAUCGUUUAGAUCAUUUUUUUAUUUUGUAAAGUUUACUUUUAGCUUAUAUAUAAUUUAACAUGUGGUAUUUUUUUCAGUAUUUUUAGUUCCUGUUGCUCAAGUUGGAUUCCGAUUGUCCAACAAUUUACCUUAGUGUUCUAAUGGAUAUUUUCGAAACACGUGCUGAUGGAGAGCCUGAUUUAAUUAACCCUCAAAUUAUUUCUGAAAGUACAAACGAGUCAUACCGUGCCUUCAUUCGCCAACAACAUAAUCAAAGAGAAAGGGAGUGGCGAAAUCGAGUUAAAAUUGGGUGCAUUGAUCGUCACAAAAGGAUUACUGACCCUAUGUUAUGUGGAAAUAAUAAUUCUAGUACUGUCCAAAUGCAUGAAUCUACUAUAAACGAUCAUUCUAAAGCUUCUACUUCAAAUAAAGGAACAACUUAUAUUUCCAAUUCUGAAGUAGAAGAAAGUUCUAAGAUAUUGAUUAUAUCAAGUACUGCAUAUGUAUUACCAACAUGCAUUGACUGUAAGCAUUGUGGUGCACGAAAAUUUUAUAGAGAAAGUAAAGGUUUUUGUUGUUCUGAUGGAAAAGUUAAGCUCUUUAUGCCAAAAUCACCAAUUGAAUUUUACGACUUGUUUACUUCUAAAGAUCCUAUAUAUAUAUGGAAUUCAAAAAAAAUGCAAGAGGAUAUAAAAAUCAUUUUGCGUUCACAUCGUUCGAUGUAAAGCAGAUAGAGAACUUUUGAAAACAUAUAGAGCUAUUUACACAUUUAGGGUUCAGGGACAAGUAUAUCAUUAUAUAAAUCAACUUAUGCCUUAGAAUAAUACGCUUUCUUACAUGCAAUUAUAUUUUUAUGAUACAGAUAAUGAGCUUCAAAAUCGUAUGAAAAUUUCAGAGAAUUUCAUUGAAUCUACUUUAAUUACCUUAAUUGAAAUUCUUAAAGUAAAUUCAUAUAGUAGAUUCUUUAGGUCUUUAAGUGAUAUGACUAAUUUACAUGAUCAUCGAAUACAUAUAAGAUGUGAUCCAAGAGUUGAUCAAAGAGUCUUCAAUACUCCUACAACAUUUCAAGUAGCUAUUGUUUGGGUUGAAGAUGAUGAAAAUGCAAAUGUUCACAUUCGUGAUAUUACUAUAUAUGGUCAUUAUGGUGAUUCACACAGGUUUCACUAUUACUAUAGUUGUUAUGAUCCUUUGCAAUAUCCUUUGAUUUUUCCAUAUGGUGAAUCUGGUUGGCAUGAAGGUAUUGAGAGAUGUAGAAGCACAUACUUUUAGCCUCAACAUUUGCCCGACUCUAUUGCUUUUCCUAGCACAAUUAAUUCUGCAGCUGAAAUUCUCGAAAAAGAGGAUACAGGUUAGUGAAUGCACCUUUUAGUAAAUUUUACACCUUCUGUAAUGUGAAUGUCGCAAAUGAAUAUUGAAAUUGAUACUUUGUUACAUCAUGCAGUGCUCAAUGGAACGAAAAAACGGUCUCAGGUUUCUUGCCGAGAAUACUAUUCGUACAAAUUACAAAUUAGACUUUUUGGUACGUUCAUGUUACUUCACACUGGUAGGCUAUUUCAACUAUAUGUUGUAGAUAUGUAUGUUAAGAUUGAAAUUACUAGAUUAGAUUAUUUUCGUAAUAACCAAAAAAAAAAUUUGUGCUGAACUUUAUCAAGGCAUUGUAGAUAGUGUUCAAAAUGGAGAGACAAGAGGGUGCAAAAUUAGACGGAAGCUUGUUUUACCACAAUCUUUUACAUGUGGCUCUAGAGAUUUGCUAAGGAGAUACAUGGAUGCGAUGGCUAUUGUACAACGUUAUUGAAAAUCAGAUGUAUUUUUUUACUAUAACAUGUAAUCCAAAUUGGCCAGAAAUCAAGCGAGAACUAAGACACAAUGAAGAGGUUCUGAAUCGACCAGAUCUAAUCACGCGUAUAUUUAGAGCAAAAUUAGAAGAGUUGAAAAACGAUUUAUGUAGGGAAAAUGUAUUAGGCCCCGUUGCUGCUUUGAAUUUCAAAAAAGAGGGCUUCCUCAUACACAUCUAUUGUUGAUUUUUAAAUGCGGCUACAAAAUUUGUUGUGCUGAAGAGGUUGAUAAGAUAGUAUCUUGUGAAAUUCCUAACAAACCAAAACACCCCAUCUUCAUUCAAUUAUUUUUAAACAUAAUAUGCAUGGUCCUUGUGAAAAUUUAAAUCCUAAAAAUGUAUGUAUGGAAACAAAUACUGGUUGUAAAAAUAAAUAUCUGAGGGAUUAUUGUAAUACUACUAUAUUUUGCGAUAACUCAUAUCCAUUAUAUAGGCAACGUAAUAAUGGUAUUUCUAUUAAAGUUAUGGGUCAAAUGUUUAACAAUCGUUGGGUCGCACCAUACAAUCCUUAUUUAAGUGCGAAAUUUGACUGCCACAUCAAUGUUGAAGUAUGUUCUUCUAUCAAAACUGUAAAAUAUUUGUAUAAAUAUGUGUACAAAGAAUAUGAUUGUAUUAAUUUCUUCGCUGACACAAAUAAAACAAAUGAGGAAAUCGAUGAAAUUUUUGUUUAUCAAUCUGCUAAAUGGAUAUCUCCACCUGAGGUUAUGUGGAGAAUUUUUUCUUUCAAUUUGUCAGAUAUUUAUCCAUAUGUUUAUUCUUUACAGUUUCAUAUUGAGGAUCAUCAAUAAAUAACAUAUAUUGAUCAUGAUGAUUUAUCUACUAUUAUUGAAAAAGAAAAUACGAGAAGAACUAUGUUAACUGAAUUCUUUCUAAUGAAUGAAGAAAAUGAACUUGUUCGUACAUUGUUGUAUCGAGAUUUCCCAAAAUAUUUUGUCUGGAAUGCAAAUAACAAAAUUUGGACUCCUAGAAAGAAACAAAUUGUUAUAGGACGAAUUGUAAUAGCUAAUUCUUCUGAAGGAGAACGAUAUUUCCUCCGCAUUCUUCUUAAUCAUAUUAGAGGAUCAGUAUCAUUUCGUGAUUUACGAACUUUAAAUGGGAUAACUGUUGCUACAUAUCGAGAAGCAACACUUUUAUAUGGUUUAUUAAGCGGAGACAAUCAUUUUGAAGAAUGUAUAUUUGAAGUUAUUGUUUUACGAAAUGCCUACUCUUUUAAAACGUCUCUUUGCUACACUUCUUACACUUUGCAAUCCUAACCAUCCAAAGUUCUUGUGGGAUAAGUUUAAGGUUUAUAUGUUUGAUGACUAUGUACAUCAAAAUAUACCUAAGGAGAUUGUGGAACUACGGGCUUUAGAAGACAUUAGUUCUAUUUUGGAAUCAUUAGGUAAGAACAUAAAUGAUUAUGUCAUGGUGCCAUUCAAUGUAAAUAUAUAUGAAACUGAAAGGUUGAGAAGAAUGGUUGAAGAGGAGACAACUAAUUUUGAUAUUGAAGGGGGUCUUGCUUGUGCUGCAAUAUUAAAUAAAGAACAAGAGUUUGCAUAUGAUAUAAUUAUGGAAAAAGUAAAAUCUGAAUCGAGCGGUGCUUUCUUCAUCGAGGGUCCAGGUGGGACAGGAAAAACAUUUUUAUAUAAAGCACUCCUAACUGGUGUAAGGUCACAAAAUUUAAUUGCUUUGGCAACUGCAUCAUUUGGAGUAUCUGCAUCUCUUUUAUCUGGAGGUCGAACGGCUCAUUCAAGAUUUAAAAUUCCUUUAAAAAUAGUUGGUGAAAUAAAAUGUUCUGUUAGCAGGCAAUCAACUUUAAGAAGUUUGUUGAAAAUGUCUAGGUUGAUCAUUUGGGAUGGAACACCGAUGGUAAAUCGUUUUGCUGUUGAAGCUGUAGAUAAGAUGUUUAGAGAUAUUACCGAUUAUAACUUGCUUUUUGGUGGAAAAGUAGUAGUUCUUGGAGAAAAUUUUCGUCAAGUUCUACCAGAGGUGCCAAAAGGGGAAAAAUGACAUAAUGAAAGUUAGCUUAAUUUUCUCAAACUUAUGGCCUUUGUAUUUGCAUCUACCAUUGAUCGAGAAUAUGAUGGCGAAGUUGGAUCCCACAUUUUGUGAUUACUUGAUAAGAAUUGGAGAUGAAACGGAGAAAGAACAUAGUUGUAAAUGCAUUAAACUUCCAAACAAUAUAGUUUUGCCAUUUGAAGAUGAAAUUACAUCUUUAAAAAAUUUGAUACAUCAUGUUUUUCCAGAUAUAGAAGCAUAUGCUGAUAAUCUCUAUGCGAUGGUAAAUCAAGUUAUUCUUACGCCUCAAAUGAAGGUGUUGAUCACAUUAACCGAAUUUUGCUCGAACAGAUUCCAAGUGAAAUGUUCGCAUAUUACAGUUUCAAUGAAGCAAUUGAUGAAUCAGAACAAAGCUUGCAAGAAGAUUUUUUUGAAUAGUCUAACCCCAAAUGGUAUUCCACAGCAUGAAUUGAAACUUAAGAUAAAUUGUCGUGUCAUGUUAUUGCGAAAUAUCAAUCCUUCUGAAGGAUUGUACAAUGAGACACGCCUUACUUGUCAAAAGUUUCAAAAGAUCGUAAUUCUUGCUGAAAUCACAACUGACGAGUAUUGUGGAAAAUAUGUUUUCUUGUCAAGAAUCCCUUCUAUACCUCUAAAAAAUGAUCAAAACUCAAUUCAAUUCAAAAGAACUCAAUUUCCAAUCAGACUGUGCUUCGCAAUGACGAUAAACAAAGCACAGGGUCAAACGCUUGAUUUUGUGGGUUUGUAUUCUGUCAUGAUCAACUUUAUGUAGCAUUAUCAAGGACAAAAACAAGCACAUCUAUCAAAGCUCUACUUCAACCAUCAAAAGCAGAAAAUUUUCACAAAACAUGUACCAAAAAUGUUGUCUACAAAGAAAUUUUUCCGUUCAUAAAUAUGUCAGAAAGAUCCGAAAAAUAAGACAUUGACCCCCACAUGCGUUUUAGGUUUCUUUGUGGAACUUCAUACAAUUCUUGUCUUACUUCAACGGCCUUCUAAAUCUUGGCUUUAUCAAAGGUUUGUAUCAAUUCCCCACUUUUUUUUUUUCCCUGAUUUCCUUAUGUUUAUUUGGAUUUAUCUAAUGUUUACCAUUCAGACUAGGUAUAUUUGUUUUUGCUACAAAUGAUUUUCCUGUUUUGUUAAACAAUUUUUCAUAUUUUCUUAUAACCUUUUAUUGUAAUAUAUAUGUUCAUAUCAACUGUAACUUUAAGUUUUCAUCACACCGAUUGAUUUUGCAAACUUGUAUUUUUUGUAUUUCAUGAAUUUCUUCCAUUCACUUAAGUUAAAUACUAGAAAGUCUAGUUAACGAUGUUUGUUACAACAGACAAGUCCUAUUGACCACGUAGAAGUGUGUUUAUUACUUUAUAGUAUGCUAAAAUUAUUACCAUUCUUCUUUCUUAUCAUUUCUUGGUGCAUGACACUGGAAAUGUUUUAUUGUGGAAUAAGAUAUUCGUUUCACGAAGUAUUUUUCAUUUCUUUGCUUAAAAUAUCAUAUUAUUCUUAUUCAUGUAUUAUAAUUACUAUUGGGAUAUUUGGAAUAAUUUUGAGUCUUUGGAUAAUACACUUUCCUUAUAUAUGUUAUUGUAUUUCGAGGUGCAUCCUGCAACAUUCAACUUACACUUGCUUGUAAUAUUUAUACAUUGUCAUCAAACUAAUAUCUUCUUAUUUCUAAACAAAAUAAUUUGGGCCAGCUUUCAAAGUUUUACUUUGCCUAUGUACUAUUAUCAUCUCAAUUUGAUGGCCUACAGCUGAAAUAGCCAGUAGCGUUUAAGGGGAGCAAAUACAUAUUGUUCCAUAGAUGCAUGUGUUAUAUGCACCUAUAUAUUUAUGUACCUUUUCAUUUAUUGAAUUUAAUGUUAUGGUUUGACUUUGUUGAUUUGGCAUCAAAUAUGUUGUUCAUUAGUUCAAAGAGUUAUAUUUCAGAUUCAAUUGUAUCAUUUUAUAAAGUUGCCAACUUUUUGUGAAUACUUUCUUCUGUCAUUUUUUGUUCAUCACCAAGUCAAACUAAAGCGUUCAGUUUUGGGUUAAUUGUGUUCAUGCAUGAUUUAUUGAUGUAUUGGAUUGUUUGAAUUUCUUUUGAAAAAUAUGUUCCAUAUCAUAUCUUAGUUUAUUUUUUAUUAUUAUUAUUAUUAUUAUUAUUAUUAUUAUUAUUAUUAUUAUUAUUUACACGGUUUAGUUUCACCACCAGGGUCCAAAAAUGAAUCUUGGUGCUAAGGGCUAGAUAGAUUGGCUUCUAGAUCUGCUCAAUACUAUGCAAGGGUAUGUUUUGCAAAAUGGUUUGUUGUUUUGAUUUAUACAUAUCAGCUGUAUCUUUUACUUUAGAAUCUCCGUUUCAAUAAAUUUUCCUUUUAUGGAAGAAAAAAAAUGUUGUACUGACCUUUUCCCUUUGCAUUCUAAUAUUCUAGGAGAAGUGUUUUACGAUACCUUGUGGUCCUUCUGCUCUGGCUAUUAAAGCAGCGGCAUGGUGCUAAUUGCCAUUGACUAAUGAACAAUUGCAAAUAAAACUGAAUAAUUAUUUAUGAUUUCUUGUAAUAAAAUUUUUCGAAUGGUGUAGAGAUACCAUUGUGAUUAUUUAUGAUUUCUUGUGAUUAAAUAAAACUGAACAGAAGUGAAUAAUGAACCUUUGCGUACUAAAAGCUCUACGAGCCUUGAGGUAAAAAAUACUAGGUCUUUCGAUCACUUCAAUUUGCAAACUUAGUUUCAUAUGCUCUUUUUUACUUUAUAUAGGUUGAUGCACAUCCUCAGCAAAUAAAUCUGCAUCUUUCUAUUUUAAUUUUAAAUAGGCAACCAGUUUUGCCAACUGUGAUUAAUUAUUUUGGUAAAAUUUUCUAUUAUUGUUGUUUCCUAAUUAUACUUGUCUUCACACGAGAAUUCUAUUAAAAUAUGUUCUUAUUAUUAUCUAAAAUCUUCUUACUCAUUAGACUAUAGGGAUAGAAUUCAUCGCUAUGCCUUGAAUAAGUGGACUACGUAUAUAGCCAAUUCUUUUUAGAUUGCUCCUCUGAGUAAAAUUCUUGAUUAUUAAGAGCGUUUCUUUCUUGAGACAUUCAAAUUUUUGCUGUAUCCCCUCUCAUUUCGUAUGUGUUAAAUCUAAUCAUCAGUUUAAGCAUUUUCCUAAUCAAUGUUCGCUAAAUGUUCUUCAUUUCUGCUAUAACCUGCUUCAUAAGUUAUCUUUUAUUUUUUCCUCCUUUUUGAAAAGCUACUAUAAUGGGCUUCCUUUGCAUCAUGAUACAAAAAGAGGCCUUGACCAAACUGUAAAGUUGCUUCUUUCACAUGUAAGUGUGUACAAUUUUUGUCUAUUAAAUGUUUUCUCCAUAAUUUAGGUCAUGAUGUUUCAUUGACAAAUAGUAUCUUGUUUUAGCAACGUCAUUCGCACUAUAGAAGUAUUUUUUUUUUCCUCUUACCAUCAUUUUAGCAUAUCAAUUCUGAUAUAUCUAAAUACUUUACAUGUUCAUCAUGCGGGGAGCAAAUACUGACAUUUUCCCAUUAUGCUUAUGAGGGGCACAUGUGUUUAUUCUCUGGUUGGUUGAGAGAGUUUUACGGGCCUAGCUUUCUUAAACUAAUGCACAUCAAAUGCUUUCAAGAAAACUAUGUGAGUAUUAUAUUUACAAUUUACACACAUUCAUUAUAUCCUCCAUAGUGUUGUAACUUGUAUCUUUAGUUGCUCUUUGUAUUAUCUUGUUUACUCAUUUUGUAUCAGUGACUUUUUGAAAGAUUAUUUUACCAUCUAUGCUUACAAGAAGCUCUUGUUAAUACUUGUGCAGUUGGAUGGUUGUGAUCACUUUACCAUGCUUCCUCCUGUUUUUUAAUGUCACGUCUUUUUUUCUGUUAUCGUCUUUUAUCAGUAGGACCAACAAAAGUUUUUUGACACUGCUACAUAUCAGCUUCGUUGCUACAAUAAUAUGGGUUUGCUCUGUUAUGUGUAUGUGGCCAAAAUAGUAGGAUAUUGAUGUAUGUUUUUGUAUUUUGUACAACGUUGUUGAAACUAGCAAUCAAGUGCCUCAAUUAGCUAAAAUUGUACUUCACCAUGUCGUGUGUGUACAUAUGUGUAUCUAAACUCUACAGAGCAUUAUCAUUUUGUCUAUUACGU